GAUUCCUCUCGUCGUCCCAUUCUCCGCCACCGCUGGGAUUCCUUCGAGUCUGCGUCCUCCGCCGACUCCAGCUUGUGCGAGGAGGCACACGAGCUUUGCCACGUGCGUAGACAGCUGUUGGUGCUUGCCGCCAUGUUCUGCUCGUGGUUUGUAGUAGGAGGAGGGCCUGGAGCUCCUCGUCUCCAUUGAUAUCUGACCUCGUUUGUGACGUCUAAUACUGCCGAUGCUUGGUGCUUGGUGGAAACCAUCCGAUCUGGAGAAUCAACAGAACUAAUGUUGCUGAUGCUUGGUGCUUGGUGCUAUAACCUUCUUUAUUUUUCCCUUCUGAUUUGCUUCUAUGAAUGCGUGAUGACCUUUCAUUCUUCAUGGUGCAAGAGGUUAAAUUCGUGACUCUGAACAAAUUCUUGAUUCUGUCAUUGUUUCAGUUUGUUUUCAGGUUUUCCUAAAUCAUGUAUUUUUGGUGGAUGUUAGAGGAGUUCGCACAGAAUUGUUCCAAGUUUCUUUCCCGGUUGCAAAUCCUGCUGAAAAUAACUACAGCAUGCCACGGAUUUCUUUGGUAGUAACAUAGAUUAAAUUUGCUUUUGAGCCGUUGGGAUAGAAGUGAGCUGGAGCUGGAAUGCAAGCUAAAUGGACAUGUUUACAGGACCCCAAUGUCAAUGCGAGGGUGAUUCAGAGUUUACGCAGGUGAGCAGCCACCAUUUAUGCCAAGAGGCGCCAGGUGAUUCAGAGUUUACGCAGGUGAGUUGCCUGGUGAUUCAGAGUCUACGACAGUGAGCUGCCUGGUGAUUCAGAGUCUACGCCGGUGAGCUGAUGCAUCCGGCCGGUGCAUCUGGUAAUUGCAAUGCGUUUUGCUACCUUGACUUGGUUUGCCGUGUCAGCUAUCUACUUGAUUAUUUGCCUAUUUGUGUUACAAACAACAUAGUGUUGUAUUAUGAGCCAUU